UACGUAGGGUGCAAGCGUUAAUCGGAAUUACUGGGCGUAAAGCGUGCGCAGGCGGCUUUGCAAGACAGAUGUGAAAUCCCCGGGCUUAACCUGGGAACUGCAUUUGUGACUGCAUGGCUGGAGUGCGGCAGGAGGGGGAUGGAAUUCCGCGUGUAGCAGUGAAAUGCGUAGAUAUGCGGAGGAACACCGAUGGCGAAGGCAAUCCCCUGGGCCUGCACUGACGCUCAUGCACGAAAGCGUGGGAGCAAACAGG
rnacentral:rRNA from 1 species